rnacentral:lncRNA from 1 species
CGCAUCAGUUGCAUCCUGAUUCUUACUGUAAAGAUAUGAGUAAAACGCUUGGCAAGGUAUUGGAGCAUGAUGAUAUGGACCAAGACAGAACUAAAGGAAAGAAGCUUGACACUGGAUUUUCUGGGACUACCAAGCAGUGGGAAGAGACCUUUGGCUCAAGGUAUCCAAAAGCAGGAGCAAUGUAUAGAGGGACUGCACCAUCUCCACUCACUACGAUUCCCUUCUCAUCUGAUAUUGUCAGCAAGGAGGUAGUUUCAUCAAAAGAGUGCCAGAAAAUUAUUAAUAUUCCGGAUUUGAAGAUUGUGGAGGUAAUUUCCUGCUGACCUUUUGUCUCUCCCGAAUAAGUUUGUCUUUAUAUACAUGUCAACUGCAUGUUCUACACUUUUCCUUUUUUGUUUUCUUGUAUUUUGAUAUAUCAUCAAGUGGCUUGCGAGAGCUUAAAUGUUACUGAUUAAGCAAGUAUUUGCCAAUAAUAAAUAAAUAAAUAAUCGAGUAUAUUUCUUAACCUGCACCUCAAAAGUUGACUUCAUCAGAGUAACAACGGGGAUUGAAGUGGUCUUGUAGAGUGUUCUUCUUAAAGAACUAUAUGCUGGGAAUGAUGUUCUAUUGUCAUAAGACCUGGCCAGGUUCAUAACAAAUCUGAAGAUAUUUGUCAUUUGUGAACUUGGAAAGUUCUGGUUCAAUGAAAACUCGAGCGCUUUGGUAGAAUUAAAUUAAAAUUUCAGUUGUGCCUUUCUCUAUAGAUAUGCAACUCUUUUUGUGGUAAGUGCUAUGAUCUGAUGUACCUAUAGACUGCUUAUUUUCUUUGUUCUGCGUUUGUAUUUGCACCCUGAAUGACGAUAUCUUCAGCCUGAACCAAUAUUAUUUCAGCAGCUCUCAUUAUCCAAGGUUAUUCUUUAAUGUUCUUCAUUCCCCUUUUCAGGUCUUUGUGGAGAUUGUUGCUGUUAAAAACUUGCCUGAGGAUCACAAGGACAAGGGAGACCUUUUUGUCUUCUUCAGUAAAUCACAACCUGAUAUCUUCUUUAAUGCUAAACAGAAACUUACUAUUCUGUCUAAAUCUGGGAUGAAACAAGUUGCUUCCUUUCAGUGUGAAGCCACCGGAGAACUGUUGUUUGAACUUGUAUCACAUUC